rnacentral:snoRNA from 1 species
UGCCAUGAUGAUACACAACCACAAAAAAUAUUUCUGGUACCUCUUGUGUCAGGGGCACACCUAUGUGGUGUUGCCUCAAUGAACGUAAGGGACUUCUGAUC